rnacentral:rRNA from 1 species
ACUCAAAUGAAUAGACGGGGAUUCGCACAAGCGGUGGAACAUGUGGUUUAAUUCGACACUACGCGAGGAACCUUACCUGGACUUGACAUGUAUUUGACAGCCGUAGAGAUAUGGUCUUCCAAGUUUACUUGGACAAAUACACAGGUGCUGCAUGGCUGUCGUCAGCUCGUGUCGUGAGAUGUUAGGUUAAGUCCUCUAACGAGCGCAACCCUUGCUACCAGUUGCUACCUUUAUGGAGCACUCUGGUGGGACUGCCUGGGAAACCAGGAGGAAGGUGGGGACGACGUCAAGUCAUCAUGGUCCUUAUGUCCAGGGCUACACACGUGUUACAAUGGCCAGUACAAAAAGCUGCGAGACCGUAAGGUGGAGCUAAUCUCAAAAACUGGUCUAAGUUCGGAUUGAGGUCUGCAACUCGACCUCAUGAAGUUGAAAUCGCUAGUAAUCGCGUAUCAGCAACGACGCGGUGAAUACGUUCACGAAUCUUGCACACACCGCCCGU